GGCUCCUCCCAUAGAGCAUGUUUGGUAGCCGCUAGACAUGUUGCAGUUUUAGUUUCUACGGAAACGACAUGCCGAUCUAUUGCGCAUUCUUUGAGUAUUAACUACAACGCUUAUUUCAAAUGGGGCCCUAGUGUUGAACUCGAAGUCAUGUUUGCCUCAUAAAUCGACGUUUAAGAAAGCAAUGGAAUAACAGAAGGCACAAUCAUCUGAUUCGACGAUUGUUUGAGAGCUAAAUCUAUUAUGGUCAUCCAGAAACUUCUAGCUGCCAACUCCUCACCAUGUUUUUCGUAGAUGCUCUCAUCGACAGCUCUGUUUGGUAGUCAUUCGACAUAUAUGUCUAUUGUUGGAGAUCAAAGCGUGUAUAAUGCUGGUGCUACUUAUUGAUGAUUGCAAAGAACUCUGUCAGUGUAUUUGAGAACCAUGCUAGUUGCCAUAUGUGCCAGAUAGGCAUCUACUGAUGUUAUCUUGGUUUAAAAUGAGGGUGAUUUUAUGUACAACUGUAUGUUUUAUGUUCCAUUCAUAUUUAUAUUGA